GCUACACCGUCUUCGCCGGGAGGCCGAUGUUUCCAGAGCCGAGAAGUUGCCAACGCCGUGGGCUCCUUGCACCUCCCCCGCUAACCUAAGCCGACGGCCCACGAAGCAAACCACCACCUCGGAGACAAAUACCAAAACCCCUCUUGAGGACCCGGGAUGGACAGCAGCCAGCAAGAUGUGGCUUACUCCCGGCCCGGCGUGUGCUCAGACCCCACGAACCCCGAAUUCAGACAGGCUCGGGCUGGCACGUCUGCUCGCCGAGACUAGCUGCGUGCCGUUGAGCAAGGGCCUCGACCUCUCUGGGCCUCGGGUUCGUCACCUGCGGGGGGGGGGGGGGGGACGGCUGCCAGGGUGGGAGGCAACGUGUCCCCUGGAAGGUGACUAGGAAGGUGUCGGGGCCAGUGGCGGCAGCUCGGGACUCCUGAGAGCUCGCUCUGCCCACGACUAUCCGGGACCGAUCCUCGUUACUCCCCCUACUCUACAGCUGAAGGAGCCAGGGCUCAGAGAGGUCGAGUGACUUCCCUGAGGUCACACAGCUGAAGGCGGGGGAUCGCCAGACCCACCCACCCGAGGGUCAUCUGUCUCCGGUCGAAGCUGGCCGGGCCUGGUCCUCUCCGGGAGACCUCCGUGGCGGGACUCAGGCACGAACAGAACCGUGCAGGUGUCUGAAGCCUAGGGUCAGAGGGGUCGGGCCGAUCCCCCCGGGCCACUCGGCGAUGGCCGCUCACCGCACGAAGCAAGAUAGCAACGGCAGCAGCGGCGGCUUCCCAAAUCCUCGGAAACAAGGUGGCGGGCAGGCUCGGGCCGGGCAGCCCCCGCUUCCUCCGAAACAGCACCCUGGUGCCAGACUUCCAGGAAGAUUAAGCUGAAAACUGGCUUUUCCAGCAUCGCUGCUGCGGGAGGAGAGAGGGUUGCCAUGGAAACAGCAUCUGGCCGAGUUUUAGAGGCAAGGAGACAGGGGAGGGAGGCUCGGAGAGCCCCCAGGCACGACGCCCCCUUCCCCUGCCCUGACACGCGUGUGUGUGGGGUCAAGUGGGAGCAAAGGGGGUGCUUUACAGCUCGCGGACACAAGCCAUUUAGGAUUUGUUCACGGCCCUUGAGGACCCAGCGCCCCGAGCCUGGCUUUGACUGUUUUGUGGCCAAAAGGGCACGUCAGAUGUUUGGCACUGGGACAGGCAGAGCGGCAAGGAGAGGCACAGAAGCUUCCCUGCGGGCGCGCUUCCUGGGAAACCGACUCCUCCGAGGCCGCGGGCAGAGCUGACGCCCUGUGCCCGUCGCUCACGUGCCCAGAGUGAGGCUGAGACACGCGGGGCCCCGUGGAACUGCCACCGGUGGGGGGAACCGAGAAUCUCCCGCGGGGCCGGGGGGGCAGCAAGUCCCGAACCCGGGGAGCGGCGGGCUGGCCGGGCAGCCCCAGGGAAGAUGCCAGGGAGGCUUCCUGGGGGAGGUGGCGUCCGAGCUGAAUUCUGCAGAAUGGCUCAGCUACAGGAAGAAGGAGCCGGUGAAAAAGCCAGCAGCACAAAGUCCCUUCCGUGAGGACCCCAGUGAUGUGCGGCCUGGCCAGAGCCGGGUGACCGGGACUGCGCGGGGACCGUCCUCGGGGCAUCUUUAGGAGGACGCAGUGGAAGAUUCAACAGACAAAAUUAUCCCGUCAAGUGUCUCUGAGACAUUCUCGGUUUCUGUGGCUUUCUGGCCUAAACGCUUAGCACUUAGCGGCUGGCUCACAGACCACCCCUGGGUAGCGCUGGCUGAAAGGAUUCCCUGCGGAAGAGCCACCAUUCUGUCAACAGGACGACCUCCCCGGGGGAACAGCAACCUCAUUUACAUCUCCAACCUCCAGAGGUAUUCCCAUUUUAAGGAAGGGCAAAGCAAGGCCCCAGAGGCCCUCACCUUCACCCACCCAGGGGCUCGUUCAGGCCAGGGCUUGGAUGGAGAAAUUGAUCGGCCUCCCAGUGGGUGCCCUGCGUCCAGAGCCGGGGGCCCCUCCGAGUCCCAGGAUGCCCCUCCGCAGCCGCAGGCACCCCCCACGCCCCCGUCGGACACGAUGCCCCACGCGCCCAGAGCGGUGAGACGGAAGCCUGAGGAGCGCCUGGGCUGGAACCAGGCGACGGACAGCACACAGAGCAGGUGGCUGGGCACCUGUCACAGCCAGGUCCCCACGGCCCGCCUGCCCACCCUCAUCGUCAGCUCCCACUGCUGAGCGGGGAGCACGCGGAGACGCCGGGCCACACCCGCGGAACGAUUGUCCGCACCACGCACGCGAGGGAAGAUGCCGGAACUCUCUCGAUCGCUGCGAGCACUCUGGGAAACCGUUGGCGGUUUCUAAUCAAGUUACGUGCAGAGUUACCACCGGACCCAGCGGUUCCGCUCCGAGGGGACUUACGGACGACGGAUGAGCGUGCGUCCACACCACGGUCUGUCCGUGAGCGCUCAACCCAGCUUCGCUCAUCACGGCCCCAAACUGGAAGGAAACAAAAGUGCCCCAGCAGGAGUGGGAGCCAAGCGUGGGCGGUGUCACGCCCUGGGGAAUGGCGGGGAGCCUGGCGGGGCCAGAGAGGCCCAGGCAUCACCUGCCCACCUGUCAGUCCGUGGCCGCACCCGGCUGGGUGGUGGGACAGACGCGGUCUGGCUGGCCUGCCCGCGGCCGUGCCGGAAGCUUCCAAGCACAGGGCGGGCGGCGGGGGGUGACCAGUGACCCGCGAGCCCCGGGCUUCCUCCACUCCGGAUCUGUCAGGCCGCUCCCCGCUCGCUGGGCAUGUCAUCGCGUCCAGUAAACAGCCACUGAGCACUGA